rnacentral:tRNA from 1 species
GGCUUCGUAGGUCAAUUGGCUAGAGCGUCGGCUGUACUAAAGCCUUCCUCCUGCUGGCGUGGGUUCGAAUCCCACCGUCGCCG